rnacentral:piRNA from 1 species
UAACUCAUAAUGUGCCGUUUGACCUC